rnacentral:rRNA from 1 species
UACGUCGGGUGCAAGCGUUAAUCGGAAUUACUGGGCGUAAAGCGUGCGCAGGCGGUGCUGUAAGACAGGUGUGAAAUCCCCGGGCUUAACCUGGGAACUGCAUUUGUGACUGCAUCGCUGGAGUGCGGCAGAGGGGGAUGGAAUUCCGCGUGUAGCAGUGAAAUGCGUAGAUAUGCGGAGGAACACCGAUGGCGAAGGCAAUCCCCUGGGCCUGCACUGACGCUCAUGCACGAAAGCGUGGGGAGCAAACAGG